rnacentral:rRNA from 1 species
CGCGGCCUAUCAGCUUGUUGGUGAGGUAAUGGCACACCAAGGCGUCGACGGGUAGCCGGCCUGAGAGGGUGACCGGCCACACUGGGACUGAGACACGGCCCAGACUCCUACGGGAGGCAGCAGUGGGGAAUAUUGCACAAUGGGCGCAAGCCUGAUGCAGCAACGCCGCGUGCGGGAUGACGGCCUUCGGGUUGUAAACCGCUUUUAGUAGGGAAGAAGCCUUCGGGUGACGGUACCUGCAGAAAAAGGACCGGCUAACUACGUGCCAGCAGCCGCGGUAAUACGUAGGGUCCGAGCGUUGUCCGGAAUUAUUGGGCGUAAAGAGCUCGUAGGCGGUUUGUCGCGUCUGCUGUGAAAACUAGAGGCUCAACCUCUAGCCUGCAGUGGGUACGGGCAGACUUGAGUGGUGUAGGGGAGACUGGAAUUCCUGGUGUAGCGGUGGAAUGCGCAGAUAUCAGGAGGAACACCGAUGGCGAAGGCAGGUCUCUGGGCACUUACUGACGCUGAGGAGCGAAAGCGUGGGGAGCGAACAGGAUUAGAUACCCUGGUAGUCCACGCCGUAAACGGUGGGCACUAGGUGUGGGGACCUUUCCACGGUUUCCGUGUCGUAGCUAACGCAUUAAGCGCCCCGCC